rnacentral:rRNA from 1 species
UGGGGAAUAUUGCACAAUGGGCGCAAGCCUGAUGCAGCAAUGCCGCGUGUGUGAAGAAGGCCUGCGGGUUGUAAAGCACUUUCAGUCGGGAAGAAAAGCUGAGUGUUAAUACCACUCAGUCUUGACGUUACUGACAGAAGAAGCACCGGCUAACUCCGUGCCAGCAGCCGCGGUAAUACGGAGGGUGCGAGCGUUAAUCGGAAUUACUGGGCGUAAAGAGCGCGUAGGUGGUUUGGUAAGUCGGAUGUGAAAUCCCCGGGCUUAACUUGGGAAUUGCAUUCGAUACUGCCAGGCUUGAGUGUGGUAGAGGGAAGUGGAAUUCCCGGUGUAGCGGUGAAAUGCGUAGAUAUCGGGAGGAACAUCAGUGGCGAAGGCGACUUCCUGGACCAACACUGACACUGAGGCGCGAAAGCGUGGGGAGCAAACAGGAUUAGAUACCCCCGUAGUCC